AUGCAGGGAGCAUUUAAAGUUUACAACCUCAGUGUGACUGCAUGUGGCUGCACUGUGACACCAAACUGUCGAAUUCGCCAGAACUCUGAAAUAAAAGUUGGCUUUUAUGCUUUAUGCAUAAUAAUUUCUUCACUCUUACUACUUCUAUUUCUGCUGCUGCUGGCAUUCACCAUCUCGACCAAAAGAGAGUUCGUCACUAUGGAGCCUGAAGAUUAUGUUGGAGGAAUCCUCCUCCAAACAACCACUGAGGCACCAGGAGACGACUGCGAGGUCACUGUUUAGAAACAUUUGCAUACAUGCCAAUGACCCAUUUUAAGGCAAAUAUCAAAAAACCAUUUCUUUUUCUUUAAAGAUUCCGUUCACUAUUAUGGAAGAACCUGAUGGUUUGGAGUACUAUAAUCACCCUAAUCUCAAUAUUCCACUGAAUGGGAUGGUAAAUGAAAGAUAUUCGGCAACGAUGGGUAUUAAUGAAGUUCCAAAUUUUGGCAGUUUUCGGAGUCAACUCAAAAAGCCAAGAAGGGUAGGUCAUUCUUUCAUGGAGCAUGUACUUUUGUAAAAGCAUCCCUUGAAAGUGUGAUAAACAGAAUCCUCCAUAGAUCAUCUCCUGGUCUUGUCAUCCUUUUCAACAGGAUUUUACACAGAGGUCCAUCCACCCACGCUUUGGGAAUUUCAGAAGAGAAAACCAAUACAGCUACACUGGAAACCAGGUUGUACACACCCACAGAAGAUCGAGGAUGUCUUACAAAAGGAUUUUAAAAUAAUAACUAUAUCUUUGUGUUCUUUAAAUUUCAGUCAAACUGGAAUUUUUCACAAACCAGUGGCUGUGACAGCAGCAAUCAGGUAGAACACCAGAGAUUUGUUUGUAAUCUUUUACAUUGAAGUCAGAGAUGAAGAAAUGUGUGAACCUUUUGUGUGCAGUUUGAAGACAUGGGCAAUAUGAACGUCCUCCGAAAACGAAACUUGAGCUGUGCUAUGGAGUCUAAUGACAUGCAGGUUAAACGGCUUCAGUACGUAAUCUGUUCAGUAAGUUACAUCUCUUAUGCUGCAUUAUUCAAAACAUAUGAGCAUGUAUCAUUCAAAAAAUAAUAAUUUACAUGUUGCAAAAUUUUCAGGCAGUGACCUCACUCCGGAAGAAAGAAGUGGACUUAGGAGACGAUGAGCUUCACAUCUAUGCAGAGGAGGGGAACUCAGACACCACCUCAGACCUGGAGGCAAUCAUUAUUUCUGAAGAGGGUUCAUUUCAGGACACACUGAAAGAUCUGGGUCCAAAGUUUCACCAACUGGCUUCUAUUUGCAGCCCGACACAAACACAGUACUCAGGAUAUCCUGUUAUGUAGCAAACAUUUUUGUUUCAAGUGUGAGGAAGAAUGCAUUUAAACCCUUUAUUCUAUUCAGAUUUGGGGUUAAUUAAAAAGGGUUUGUGGCAACCACUUCUGCAUGAGAUAUACUACCAGAGAGAGAUAUUGUUAAUCACAUGUAUUUAAUGACUGUGCCACAUGCAUCUUCAGUUUUCAUAUCAAAAUGAGGAAAGAAAAGCAUAAGUGCACAGUUGCUGGAUCACAAGAGAUUGUUCUUCCCUUUCAUGUUAGCAUCCAUAAUGCAAAGUUGCCUUUGGGAUAAACAAAAAAACAAAAAUCAUCUUCACUGAGUGCUCAUGCAAAGGGUGGAACUCAAGGUGGUCCCUCUUAAACAAGGAGAAAACUACAGUAUUUACAACAGUUUUAGGAAAAUGGAAACUCUUCAGAGUCUACCUCUACCAACUAUUGGGAGCGCUCUCUGCUCUGUGGUAUUCGACCCAGGUGGUCCUGGUAAAAAGGCAUUUUUUUGUUAUUUACUUUUUUUUGCGGGGUGAGGCUGGAGAUUAGAGAGAUUGUGGGGUCUUUGUCACUUAUCUCUGAGAGGUUCCUCCUCCUGUUUAAAAACAAACUGGUAUAUAUAUAUACCCAGAGCUUAAAAUUAAUGCUAAAAUAAAAAUGAAUUGAUUAUGUGGUGUCCACAGUAAUCAGGUUUGAAGAGCUCCUGAAACUGCCUACACCACAUACAUACUGGGAGUUAGUCACGAUAGGUAAAGCAUGUCUUUCUGAAAAAAUAAAAGAUCUUGUUUUGUGUUGAAUCUCAAGAAUCUGUGGCCCGGAUAGAUGUGUGUUAUUUUGCCUGUAGUGUUAAAGGUGUUACAGGGUUUUGGACUCAGGGUUUCUGAGAACAGUUUGGGUUCUGUUUUGGUUUUGAGGAUCAUUUGUGUUUGAGGUUUACUCCUUUUGUAUUAUACGUUGUAUUGUUUAUAUUUUUGCUUUAUCUCCCAGCGGUCUCAGUGCUUCUUGUUUAAGUAGUGUUCAGUUUAUUCUGUUCAGGUCUGUGUUUUGUCCUCCUGUGUCUCAUGUGCAAAGUUAGUCUUCUCUCCCCUGUCACAAUGAGCGGGCAGCAUGUGGAGCAGAGGGGACAACCCAAAUGCAGACACACGGAGAAAAGAAGGCGAGCCGUUUAUUCAGGCUGGUUGUCAAACCUUACAAAGAUAAGAAAACCAAACUGAAAAAGGAACAAAUCGUGAAAAACUCAACUGGAAAAACACUAGGUAAGCCUGGAAACACUAAGAACUUGGAGAGCGAGGGACACAGAGAGAUAAAUAAACAUGGAGACAAGACAGAAAGGGGAAUGUUGAAGGAAAUCUGACAACCUACAAUUAACCUGAAUCUCAAGGCAUAAACAACAUAAUCAGAAAACUCAUAAGCACAAGAAAACUAAUCUAAGAACUAUAACCCACUAUUCAAGAUCAAAACAAUAAACAAACAAGAUUCAUACAUCCAAAACACAAACACUGGGUCAACAACCCACAACUAUGACAUCCUCAUUCAUUUGUGUCUGUCUUCCUGUUUUACUUUGGUGAUUGUUGUUGUAUGUUGUAGGUUUUUUUCUGUGAUUUACCAGAAAUAAAACUUGGUUUUGAGUUCACUCUUUCUCUUCUGAGUCUUCCAAUUGGGUCCACAUCCCACCAGCCACACACCCUGACAUAUAACAUACCAGGAGCUACAAAUUUAACAUGCAAACAUCUGAGUGCCUUUAACCAGCUCUGGUUUCUUGGCUUAUUUUUUAUACACGAUCUGUUUUUUGUUUUUGUUUGUUUUCUGAUUCUGCAUCUUUUUCUGUUGUUUUUAUUUUAUUUUAUUUUUUACUGCUCUUUACUUGCUCACAUUGAAAAUGGACUCAGCUUUCAGCUUUAACACAAUGAUGUAAAGUAGGAAGGAAAAUAGGGUCAUGUGAUAUCUCAAACAAGAUCAUUUUAAUAAGAGGACUGACAGCUUUCCUUUGCAUAGCAAUCUUUGGAUGAGCACUGAUUUAGUACAUGUAAUGCAGUGGUACAGUGGGAUGGGUUGGUGUGGUUGUUGGAAGAGUGUUCAGAGAAAUUAUUUGGGUUUUGUGUUAAUGGAAUUUGCUAAAAAGAAAAUAUGCUCAUCAAUAUUUUGAUGCUUAUUUUUUGUAAGUUGUUCAUUUUCAUUAAAGUUAAAGGAUUGCUCAAUCAAAUCUAUUAAAACAAUCGGGCCCUGCCUUGAUUGUAUGCUCACACAGCUUUUAGAACAGAGUUUAGUGUGGAAGAAGUGGCGGUAACCAGGUCUCAUGGGCUCAAGAGGCUGCUGCUGCUAGCACCAGCCAUGGUGAAAUGCAGCAGGAGGGACCGUAGUCCCAGCAGCAGUGUGAGAAAGAGACAGAGGAAGGUGAGAUUAAUGUGGUCAAAAACUACAUGGAGGGAUAUAAUUAGGAAUAGGGGCAAGUGAAGGAUUCCAGCAAAAUGAAUGAAUAGUUUGACAAUCAGACAUCACUAAUAGUGAACUGUCACAUGCUGAAGUACAGUGAAACUAAGAUGUGGUAACCCAACAACAGAACAGAAAAUCUCACCUACACCCUACACAGCUCACUUGUAGCUCAAUGUCUCCCCCUUCUGACUAUCAACUUUUGGUCACUGGGCACCUGAAUAAUGGAUCUCAAGCUAAAGAUUAUAUGACAUUAGAUGAUCUCACUACCCACAACCUGCACCUUCAGAGUGGAAAAAAUAAUCAUUUUUGCCUAACAAGCAUAAAGAAAUGAAUUACAUUUUGUGUGUAUACUCAUUUUUGAGCUUUAAUCCUGCA
ensembl:lncRNA